rnacentral:misc_RNA from 1 species
UAUUAUAUGUAUGUAAAUACGUAAAACAAACAAAACACACCAAACUGUGAUAUAUCUUCUAUAUUUUUAUUACGUUAAACUGCUUAGACAGUAAAUUUAGUUUUCCAAAAAUAUUUAUUAUAGUUUAAAAAUUAUACUUACGUGCUAUGAGCGAAAGCCAAUACUUUUGCCCUCGGCUUAUCGACUAUUUAGCUAUUGUCGGAGCACAUCCUAAUUCUUCUAAAAGAAGAUCUUUGUAUGAAUUACAAAACUGUAAUGAAGAAUAUAGUAGUGGAAUCAGUUCAACUUCGGUCAAUAAUGACGACAACUUCUUUAUUCAGAAUCCAGACUUACUUCGAAGAUAUCCAGCAGAUGAUCAUAAAGAUUUUAUACUACCAGAAACUAUGUCAUAUUUUUGUCAACCAGAAGGAUGUGUUUCCUUUAGACGUAGUCGAUCAGAAUCGAACAAAGUAACAUCAUUUGUAUUUACACUAACAGAUAAAGAUACAACUCGAACUAGGUAUGGUGUUUGUGUAAACUUUUAUAGGCGUGUUAGCCAAUGUUAUACAAACACAAAUACUUCAAAGGAUCUUGACUCGAGUGAAGAUCAAUAUUUAAAAAAACACCAAAAGAAUCAUUCAUCGGUAUUUUUAAAAUGUCAUUCCACAAGUUCAUUUAGUAGAUCAGUCUCUGAGGAAUAUCCUACAAAUAAAUUAAGUGAUAUGUCUGCAACUAAUGUUCAACCACAGCCAGAAUCUCAAUAUUUAUAUUCUUUAACAUCAUUGUGCCUUCUCUCUCAUCAUCCAUUAUUUUCAAAUUUUCGUUCAUGUUUAUUUUAUUUAAAAAACAUAAUUGAUUCUUGUAAUAAAAGAAUUAAUCGGAGCAGAAAAAAAUAUCAUAAAAGUAAAGAGUGUAUAUGGAGCUUAUUAACUGGAUUAUUAACUCAAGCGAAUUCGCCCAGGAUUAUACAAUACAUCAAAGAAAUUGAAAUGUGGAUUUUACGUUUACUUAGCACUCCAGUUCCAGUACCAGGAAAAACAAAAAUCGAGGUUUAUUUAUUUUCGCAAAAUCAGUGCCAACCACCUUUAACAUUUGCAUUGCCGGACCAUACGAGAUUUUCAUUGGUCGAUUUCCCAUUACAUUUACCCCUAGAGUUAUUAGGAGUAGAUACGUGUCUCUAUGUACUAACUAUUAUUUUAUUAGAAAAUAAAGUCGUCUUCCAAUCUAAAGAUUAUAAUGCACUCUCAAUGUCAGUAAUGGCUUUAGUUGCACUUAUGUAUCCUUUACAAUACAUGUUUACUGUAAUUCCAUUGCUGCCCACUAGCUUACCGAAAUCGGAAAUGCUAUUUGAGAGUCCUGUGCCUUAUGUAGUUGGAGUUCCAUCCAGUUUUUUUACAACAAAACGAAAUUUCCGAUUUCCUAAAGACGUUUGGAUAAUAGAUUUGGAUUCGAAUAAAAUAACUCCACCAAUAACCGUUAACCGAGAGGAUGCUAUACCACCUUUACCUAAAUCGGAAUCGAUAACAUUGAAAAAUAACUUAAAAUCUGCUUUAAAUGGGCUUUCCCGAAUUAACAUAAAUAAUAAAUCAACGAAUUACUUUCCGGAAAACGAAAUUAUGUCAAUAACACGGCCUUCUAUCGAUACAAAUACUGGAGAAGAAGUUUUAAAAAGAAAAAUCGAAAACAUAAAAUUCACAAAAAAAAACGAAUACGUCGAUAAUACCACUAAUAAAGAAAUAAGAAGACAAAUAUCAACAAAUACAGCAUUCAACACGGUUGAUAUUGACUCAGUGGAUAUUGCAAUUAGAGUGGCCAUGGUGCGUUUUUUUUUAUCCGGCGACGUACUGGCAAAUCUCACAGAACAUUCGCGGACACUGAGACUUUACCCCAGACCAGUGGUAUUCUUUCAAAUCAACUCGUUUCUGAAAAGUCGCCCGAAUCCGUCACUAUUCACUUGUCAACUGUCUCGGACGCAAGCAGUAGAUUAUUUCGCCGAAUGGGCAUUAACACCGAACAACGUAGUAUUCCAACGAAUUCAGACAGGUGUCUGCGAUCCGUUCAUGAUUGGAGAUAAACUGAAAUGGUUUGCGAAUAAUUUGGAACCUAUUGUGUUUACCGUCUGGCAAGAGAAUUGCAUGAUUCAAAACAUAAUGAACAUCAACGAGAAUUCUAACCGUCGUUCAGUAUUCGAAUUAAGUCAUCGGUCCGACAGUGACAGCAGUGACACUGGCAGUAGCGAUGACGAGAGAUCAUCGCGUUACCACAAAGAAUUUACAGGAAAUGUCACUGGUGAUAUAAUUAAAAUAGAAAACCGAAGGCUUAACAUAGGACCAAUAGUGCAAGGUGUACAUUCUGCCUAUGAACCUCCGAUAACAUUACAGAUCCCAAUGGCGACAGAUGAUAGCCCAGAUGAUGGUACCGUUGAAUCGACGGGCAGCAAAUCAAAUGGUUCAUCUCCAUCCAGUAGCCAUAGUGACAUGAGCUCGCCUAUGUUCAAACCCGAAUCAUUAAUAGACAUCGUUAGAUGUAGUCAACUGCAACAACAACCAUCACAAUUGACUGCAACUGCUUCGGGUAACAAACUUCUUCUAAGCAGACAUAAUACAGGCGGUAGUGAUUCUGCUUUAAACCAUGUAGUUGUAGCACAAAAACCAAAUAAUAAUUUUAGACCAACAACACAAACAUCUACAGAAUUUUAUGAAACAGUACCUUUAACAGCAGAAAAAAAACAAAACAUCAUAUCAAGUCCAUCUUCGUCGAGAAAAGGAAGCCUGAGUAGUCUACACCAACAGUUGACUAGGCAAUCCAGUCAAAACAGUUCAAUUUUAGAACAUUUCGCUUAUCAAGCUAAAGAACUUGUUAGAGAAACAGCCAGACAAAGUAGUCAAGAAGGUGCUGGAGGAAUAUUAGCACAUGUUGCAGACAAACUAACCACCCAAGCAAAAAAAGCUGCAGGUGAAGCUACUAAAUCUGUACAUGAAGCCAGUAAAACAGCAUUUGAAGCCAGUAAAACAGCAGCAGGCGUAAGCAAAAAUACUUUUGACGAUUUGACAUACGUCGGAAAAAGCACAAUUGGUGACUUAACGAAAAGUGCAAAACAAGUUGCUUCCAAAAAAGGAUUUAAGGUUGGAUUAUUGAGUGAAUCUACUUCAUUAAGCCAGCAGGAUCAAAGUUUUGAUGAUGAUGAUAUUAAAGAUUCUAUGAAUUCGUCUACAAAUCCAGUUUCAUCCAGUUCUAUUUCAGAAAUUAGAAAACCAUCAGUAACAUCGAUGGGAACGGGUGCCACUAAAGAUUUCUUUUCAAACAUAACAAGUGAUAUAAAUGGAUUAGCGAAUCAAACUUCAAGCAUGUUUAACGAUUUAUUUGGUAACAAGCAACCAAAAAAUAACAAAUCAUCACUUACAUUACCAGUGACUAGAACUAAAGAGCGAACAUCUUCCGGAUCUUUUCCGACAAAAGUAGGUCGGAAUGAUUUAGUAGAAAAGUCUAAUUUGAUUAGACAUUCAAACCCAAGAAAACUAAGUGAAACAUCGAGAGUACCAAACAAAAAAUCAAUCAAACCUAAUAGUCACAUGGACAACGAAGCUUUUUUGAAGGAUGUAACCAAACAAAUUCUUGAUGGAGAAGGAAUUGGUUGGCUGAAGCUCAGUAGAUUUAAAAAAUUGAUGGAAGAAGAGGGUUACCGCAAUUUAGUAGUCAGUAAACUAAACCAAACAUUGGAUAAUAAAAUUAGCCCUAGCGAUCACAUUGAUGAUGUGUAUAUCAGUAGACCAGUUUGGAAAGGAAUGUUAAAAGCCUUAUUAGCAAUAAUUCAUGGAUUAGAAGUGUCUUUUAGUAAUCAAUGUGGAGGUGGUCUAGCAUCUGCAUUCCAAGUAUUAGAAAUAGCUCACACUCACUAUUGGACUAAGGACAUGUCUAUGACUGGUUUUGAAUCUCAAACAUCCAGUCCAUUUGGUAGUCGUGAAAAUGUACAGUCACCUUUACAAAGUCCAAGUAUUGCAAGCUCACCAAUUUCAAGUGUUUAUCAAGCAUCUAGAAAAUCUUCUCAAACUAGUACAUCUGGUUUAUCAGAAUGUAAAAACAAUCCAGCUGGAAAAUUUGCUCAAGAUUUUUCAUUAACAGACGAUGGCGAAGGAUCAAUUACAAAUAAUUCUUCCAAUGAAGUUUUUAAUGACUUAAUGAAUAUUGAAAAUAUUAAACAAGAACAAGUAUCAACGAAUCCUUUUUUGGGAAAUGAGGGAGAAGUGGCUACUAUUGGACCUGUAGUGGUGUCCGAUGAAUCCAGUUGUAAUAGUAGUUCUGUAUUAGUUAAUAAUCCAUCAUUUUAUUUGAAACGGAUGUCAAGCAACAGCAGUAGAAAUAAUACAUCGUUUUUCCGAAGCGCUGUAUCAGACAGUGAAUUGGAUAAUUCGGGACUUUUCAAGGUUACGAAUAAAAAUCGCACUCAAAGCAUUUGGUCCAGUAAAUCAUCGCUGAGCGCUGGAUUCCGAUACCACGGAGGUAAUCUUUUGAAUACUGCAUCUGGGUCGCCUAGUCCGGAUUCAGGACGAACAUAUUUAUUCGAAGGUAUACUGGGAAAAGAACGGAGCCCGAUUUGGAAUCAAUUGAAAUUUUGGGAAGAUGUGUUUAUCGAUGCUGUCAGCCAAGAAAGAGAUAUGAUAGGAAUGGAUCAAGGACCAAUAGAAAUGAUGGAAAGAUAUAAGAAUCUAAAUCAAAGUGAACGGAAACGCCUGGAAUAUGACGAAGAUAAACUUCUGUCAAUAAUGAUAUACAAUUUAAUAGCAUUCAUGGUCAUGGUAAAUGUUCCUAAAGAAAGUGUGAUGAAAAUCGUAAGAACUUUGGUUGGAAAAAGCAGAGUAACAAAUUGUUACGCGACUGAAAUAACGAGUUUAAUGGCACAACUUUCCAAUCUGAAUGGAAAUGAUGUUGACUUGAAGCCGUCGAAUUCGAGACAGGCACACAGGCAAAGUUUUGCAGUACACUGUGGCGAUUCUUCGGGGGAACUGCUGUUCUUAGAGGUCAGAGACGACGGACUGGUGUUGAGAUCUGUAAACGGAGUGAUAGUCAGUAGAUGGUGGUAUGAGCGGAUAGUGAACAUGACUUACAGCCCUAGGAGUAAAAUAUUUUGUUUGUGGAGAACCGCCAACGGUGGACAACUUCAGCUGAAUAAAUAUUUUACGAAAAAAUGCAAAGAUUUGUACACCCGCAUCAAGCAUUCGAUGGAAAAGGCCGCGGAAAGAGGACAAGGUAUUAUACCCGGAGUCGAAUUAGGAGGAGAGUUUCCUGUCAAAGACAUGGCUACUGGGGAAGGUGGUAUACUCCAAGUUUGCAUGGAAGGUGUUGGCUUAUUAUUCGCUGACAGCAAGUUUUUUGUUCGGCUUGAUCACGUACGAAAAUGUUUUACAGUCCAAAAGAAAAUAUUUGUUUUGGAAGAGUACAAUCCAAAAAUGAAACAUAUUAUUCAAAGGCAAUACGAAUCACCAAUGGCUAGCGAAAUGUUAUUGUCUUUGCACCGCAUCAUGUCUAUUGUAUAUGCGCAAACUUUGAUGCUGAGAACGAUGAAAGUCACGGAGAGCUAAAUUAUUAUAAUAAUAAACCGGAAUGUUCUUGUUUGUCACUCCUACAUUAAGGCUGGACAGAUUUGCUAUGCGGUAUUAUGCGUGUUUUCUUAUAUCGCUGCUGGUCACAAACGGACAAUUAAUCAAACAAAUAAGG